rnacentral:rRNA from 1 species
UAAUACGUAGGGUGCAAGCGUUAUCCGGAAUUAUUGGGCGUAAAGAGCUCGUAGGCGGUUUGUCACGUCUGCUGUGAAAACUGGAGGCUCAACCUCCAGCCUGCAGUGGGUACGGGCAGACUAGUGUGCGGUAGGGGAGAUUGGAAUUCCUGGUGUAGCGGUGGAAUGCGCAGAUAUCAGGAGG